UCCGAGUUGACCCCGGCAGUCUCCCAUGAGUCCCCACCAUCACGUGCUGGCAACAUGGAACGAGGGUUGCGCUCGUUGCGGGACUUAACCCAACAUCUCACGACACGAGCUGACGACAACCAUGCACCACCUGUGCACCAGCCCAAAGGGAACACCCAUCUCUGGAUGCGCCUGGCGCAUGUCAAGCCUUGGUAAGGUUCUUCGCGUUGCAUCGAAUUAAUCCGCAUGCUCCGCCGCUUGUGCGGGCCCCCGUCAAUUCCUUUGAGUUUUAGCCUUGCGGCCGUACUCCCCAGGCGGGGCGCUUAAUGCGUUAGCUGCGGCACGGAGCUCGUGAACCAAGCCCCACACCUAGCGCCCAACGUUUACGGCAUGGACUAC
rnacentral:misc_RNA from 1 species